CGGUUUGUCGCGUCUGUCGUGAAAAUCCGGGGCUUAACCCCGGAUCUGCGGUGGGUACGGGCAGACUAGAGUGCAGUAGGGGAGACUGGAAUUCCUGGUGUAGCGGUGGAAUGCGCAGAUAUCAGGAGGAACACCGAUGGCGAACGCAGGUCUCUGGGCUGUAACUGACGCUGAGGAGCGAAAGCAUGGGGAGCGAACAGGAUUAGAUACCCUGGUAGUCCAUGCCGUAAACGUUGGGCACUAGGUGUGGGGACCAUUCCACGGUUUCCGCGCCGCAGCUAACGCAUUAAGUGCCCCGCCUGGGGAGUACGGCCGCAAGGCUAGAACUCAAAGGAAUUGACGGGGGCCCGCACAAGCGGCGGAGCAUGCGGAUUAAUUCGAUGCAACGCGAAGAACCUUACCAAGGCUUGACAUGUGCUCGAUCGCCGUAGAGAUACGGUUUCCCCUUUGGGGUGGGUUCACAGGUGGUGCAUGGUUGUCG
rnacentral:rRNA from 1 species